ACGCGUGGACGGUUUACGGAAUUGGUUAAACGUAUCUUUGCAUCGUAGGGGGUGAGUAUUUGCAAAGAGAUGAACGUAGGUGAAGCAUUCAACGGAUGAUCGUAUAAGUACAAUGGCAUGCGUGGAGCAUCGUUAACGUCUACCCUAUCAGAAUCGAUUUCCCCUUGCAGAAUUUACUGCCGGGAACUUCGUGGGACAUUGGUGAGCUGCGCAGGAGUUUCAGCAUAUAGGAAUCACAUACGAAUACUCUACGCUAGAUAUAGCUUACAUCACGUAAGCCGCUCGUCUGUGAAUUCUUGAAGGGGCAAAUUUACUGCAGGGUGGUAAUGCACGUGGUUGGCUAAUAGUGAAAGUCCUUUGGUCCACCGUGUAUACGUGUAUCCGGACAGGACACAAUGGAUUGCGGUAACAUUACGCUCGAUUAGUAUCUUUCUCCAUAAAUUUCUACAAGAACCUGAGGCUUUUUACUGCCUAAUAUUGGCCGUGACCGCUUGACGUGCAGGGGUGCGGCAUAACAAAAGGUAAGCUGAACCACCAAGUAAUGUUACACAAGUAUACGAGUGGAAAUAGAAAGGACACAACACACUAAAUUCAUAUGAAGAAAUCCCGCAUGGGAAUACAAAAUACGACACAUUAAAUCUCUGAAGAAUAAUUGGCAUACAAUUGAAAAAAAAGGUGAAUCGACGUGUUCGUACUGGUAUUUACGCAGUGUAGGUACAAAGCAAAUUGUCCGUACAAUGUUGAGUUAUUAAAUCCCUUUAAGGUGGUAUACACGCAGCAUUAAAAAAGACAACUGACAUACCAGAGGCUAAUUGUUUUAUAAUUACUCUCGCUUGAGCUGGCAACUCUCGGCGUUGAGUCGCCCCCGUUGGUAUGGCAGCAUUGUACAUUAUGGCCGGAAAGUAGUGCGAAGCACGGCAAAGCAAUUGAUCAAUAUAGCGCGAACGCCCCUCUACCAUCACCGCCAUCACGAGCAGUACCCACUGGCAGCAGUACUACCUAGUAUACUAGUACAGGAGCAGUGCUGUAUAGUGUGAUGGCCACCGUGGUCGUCCCUCAUUGGCUCUGGGAGGGCUGGUCGCAGGGUGGAUAGGAGUAUGGGACUUCCAGGGGGUUCGAGAAGAGCUGCUGCUGCUGCUGCCGCCGCCGACGAAGGUGGUGGUGGCGCAAGGCGGGUUGGAAGCAGUGACGCCAUCUAUCUUCCGUUGCCUUGGCUCGGCGUAACAUAAGGCAAGAUAAAUUGCGGGAUCUCCCGGGUUCUUGAACCUUUCUGGCAAAUUGCAUAAGAAUAUCCACCCCCGGCUCACACACCCGCCGAGCGUCCAUUCCCGCUACCUCGCGGGCUCCAAUGGAAUUGGAAUUAACUCGAAUAAAUCACCCCUGGGACUCUUUCUCUCUUUCUCUCUCUCUCUUUCUCUUUCCGCGCGGCUAUGCGCCACCCUCGCCCACCAACCGAGAGAGAGUUAAAAUUCGCUCUGUUACAAUAACCCCGUGUAUUCCGCGAGAUUAGCUUGAGGAUAAAAGUGUAAUUGGACGCGAUUCUAAUAACGCUACUUUACCAUGGGAGUAAACACGAGACAAGCUUCUGCUUUACUUUUGUGUUCCUGGAGAUCCUGUGUAUUCGCACACCCAUGGAGACUGUUUUGUCGUGCGACUCGAGUUCGGGGACGAGAAAUAAAAA